rnacentral:rRNA from 1 species
GGCCGCAUCGAUCUAGUUAAAACAAUACUGUCCGCUAUGCCCAUAUUCCAGAUGAUAGCCCUGCAUAUGCCUGCUUGGUUGAUUAAACUGAUCGACUAAGUGCGCCGCAGGUUUCUAUGGGGCGAGCAGGAGAUCUCCUCGGACGGCAAGUGUCUUGCCAAUUGGAAGCUGGUUUGCCGACCAACUGAGUUUGGCGGCCUCAAUAUCUUAGACCUAACCAAGCACAGCGUAGCCCUGCGUGUUCGGUGGCUGUGGCAAGCUUGGACCAACCCAAACAAGCCAUGGCUUGGGCUU